rnacentral:rRNA from 1 species
AUUGAACGCUGGCGGCAGGCUUAACACAUGCAAGUCGAACGGUAACAGGAGAAAGCUUGCUUUCUUGCUGACGAGUGGCGGACGGGUGAGUAAUGCUUGGGAAUCUGGCUUAUGGAGGGGAAUAACGACGGGAAACUGUCGCUAAUACCGCGUAGAGUCGGGAGACGAAAGUGCGGGACCGCAAGGCCGCAUGCCAUGAGAUGAGCCCAAGUGGGAUUAGGUAGUUGGUGGGGUAAAGGCCUACCAAGCCGACGAUCUCUAGCUGGUCUGAGAGGAUGACCAGCCACACCGGGACUGAGACACGGCCCGGACUCCUACGGGAGGCAGCAGUGGGGAAUAUUGCGCAAUGGGGGCAACCCUGACGCAGCCAUGCCGCGUGAAUGAAGAAGGCCUUCGGGUUGUAAAGUUCUUUCGGUGACGAGGAAGGCGUGAUGUUUAAUAGGCAUCACGAUUGACUUAAUCACAGAAGAGCACCG